UGAUGCCAGACCAUCGUAAUUUAGACGAAAAGGAUCCCAGACCACCGUGCUUGAAAAGGAGAGAAAAGGAGAGAAUGUGGUAGGGCCGAGAAUUCCAGCAACUGCAACAGAGAGCGCUAUAUAGACCUUCAGAAACCACCGUGGACUACUUAGCCGAUAAAAGACCCGAGCCCCAACGUCUGGCUCUCCUCCAACCCAUGAAAUCUUGCACCCGGAGCUCCCAAGAAGCCAGGUUGGCGUAUUGACGGUAACAACUACAAACUCAAAAGAUCAAGGAAGCAGGCCUCCAAAUUACAACGGGUUUU